AAUUUGGAAGAAUUGACCUCAAAAUUGACCAGGACUGUGCCAAGGGGAAGAGAAGAAGGAGCCGAGACUGGAAGCUGGCUCUGGUGUUCCUGCAGGAACUCCUGCAGGAGUUGGGGGCACUGCUGGUCCCAGAGCCGUCAUUCCUGGCAUUGGGCAUUCCCAGACUCCUGGCCGUGGUCAUUCCCGGUGCCGGUCCAGAAUCCAUCAUUCCCGGUCUGGUCAUUCCCAGUGCUGGUCCCGGCUAUUCCCGGUGCGGGUCCCGGUCAUUCCCAGUGCUGGUCCCGGCUAUUCCCGGUGCGGGUCCCGGUCAUUCCCAGUGCUGGUCCCGGCUAUUCCCGGUGCGGGUCCCGGUCAUUCCCAGUGCUGGUCCCGGCUAUUCCCGGUGCGGGUCCCGGUCAUUCCCAGUGCUGGUCCCGGCUAUUCCCGGUGCGGGUCCCGGUCAUUCCCACUGUCAUUUCCAGUGCCGGUCCAGAAUCCAUCAUUCCUGGUGCUGGUCCAGAAUCCAUCAUUCCUGGUGCUGGUCAUUCCCGGUGCUGGUCCAGAAUCCAUCAUUCCCGGUGCUGGUCAUUCCCGGUGCUGGUCAUUCCCGGUGCCGGUCCCGAAUCCAUCAUUCCCGGUGCCGGUCCAGAAUCCAUCAUUCCCAGUGCUGGUCCCGAAUCCAUCAUUCCCGGUGCCGGUCCAGAAUCCAUCAUUCCCGGUGCUGGUCAUUCCCGAUGCCGGUCCCGAAUCCAUCAUUGCCGGUGCCGGUCCAGGAUCCAUCAUUCCCGGUGCUGGUCAUUCCCGAUGCCGGUCCAGGAUCCAUCAUUCCCGGUGCCUGUUAUUCCCGGUGCCGGUCCAGAAUCCAUCAUUCCCAGUGCUGGUCCCGAAUCCAUCAUUCCCGGUGCCGGUCCAGAAUCCAUCAUUCCCGGCCUGGUCAUUCCCAGUGCUGGUCCCGGCUAUUCCCGGUGCGGGUCCCGGUCAUUCCCAGUGCUGAUCCCGGCUAUUCCCGGUGCCGGUCCCGGUCAUUCCCGGUGCUGGUCCCGGCUAUUCCCAGUGCUGGUCCCGGCCAUUCCCAGUGCUGGUUCCGGUCAUUCCCAGUGCUGGUCCCGGCUAUUCCCGGUGCGGGUCCCGGUCAUUCCCAGUGCUGAUCCCGGCUAUUCCCGGUGCCGGUCCCGGUCAUUCCCGGUGCUGGUCCCGGCUAUUCCCAGUGCUGGUCCCGGCCAUUCCCAGUGCUGGUUCCGGUCAUUCCCAGUGCUGGUCCCGGCUAUUCCCGGUGCGGGUCCCGGUCAUUCCCAGUGCUGGUCCCGGCUAUUCCCGGUGCGGGUCCCGGUCAUUCCCAGUGCUGGUCCCGGCUAUUCCCGGUGCGGGUCCCGGUCAUUCCCAGUGCUGGUCCCGGCUAUUCCCGGUGCGGGUCCCGGUCAUUCCCAGUGCUGGUCCCGGCUAUUCCCGGUGCGGGGGGGGGGGGGGGGGGGGGGGGGGGGGGGGGGGGGGGGGGGGGGG
rnacentral:lncRNA from 1 species